AGGAAGUUGGCUCGAGGCUUCGUGGCUUCACUCUUCGCAGCGCCACUUGCACUCCGGCAUUAUGAGCAGAGCUGGCCAGAGCUGCGCGCCUUUCUGAAUUUACGUGUCGAGUGAUUAGAGAUCAUGGAGUUGGGAGCCCGCGUCCUCGUCGCCUUCCUCGCCUCCCAGUGUUUAUUUAUUUAACUUUCCUAGGAAAUCACUGGCUGACAGGAACUUUCAGAAGAGGGGUCACACGACCAUGCCCUUUAUUUAACAGUCAGCACAUGCAAAACCUAAUGUCUGGUGCAUUCGUGUAUACG
ensembl:lncRNA